CCUACGGGAGGCAGCAGUGAGGAAUAUUGGUCAAUGGGCGCGAGCCUGAACCAGCCAAGUAGCGUAAAGGAUGACUGCCCUACGGGUUGUAAACUUCUUUUAUAAAGGAAUAAAGUGAGGCACGUGUGGCUUCACUGAGAGUACCCGGAGAAAAAGCAUCGGCGAACUCCGUGCCAGCAGCCGCGGUAAUACGGAGGAUGCGAGCGUUAUCCGGAUUUAUUGGGUUUAAAGGGUGCGUAGGCGGAUCGUUAAGUCAGUGGUCACAUUGAGGGGCUCAACCCCUUCCCGCCAUUGAAACUGGCGUUCUUGAGUGGAAGAGAGGUAUGCGGAAUGCGUGGUGUAGCGGUGAAAUGCAUAGAUAUCACGCAGAACCCCGAUUGCGAAGGCAGCAUGCCGGCUUCCGACUGACGCUGAAGCACGAAAGCGUGGGGAUCGAACAGGAUUAGAUACCCGAGUAGUC
rnacentral:rRNA from 1 species